UCAGGGCUUGCAGGACUUUGCCAUUGUAUGAGAAGCAGGGGCACAGAAAGCCACACAAUGAUUCCCCCAUCACCUGCUGACCUGAAGGAAUGACUACUAGCCUAGAAUGGCACUCUCCAACCUCUUGGACCAUGUAGAUGAUGUCUGCUGUCCACUGUCUUCUCCCCACUGCCCAUUUUUCCAGACAGAGUGAAAUGAGGACAGCAGCUUUAUUUUUGGAGAAACACAGCCCUUUCUAAGGGCAGAGCUCAAUGAAGACAUCAAAGAAGAUUGUAUCAGACAGACUUGUGAAGAUAGGACUGGGCUCUAAACCAGCAGGCAGACCUGCCAUGGGGAGAUGAUUUGGGGCAAAAUGAAGGGUUUCAACCCAUGAAAUUCUGUUGUGUUAAAAACUGUUAUGAAGACCUCAGUGCUGCCCAUGACCACUAGAAAAAGACAGAUUUAACAAGGGAAAGAGACAUGAAUUUGAUGUGCUGAAAUACCCAACUAUUUGUUCCCUGGCGUUUGGUUAUGCUGAAUGCUUUUGUUCCAGCCAGGGUUGCUCAUCUGUGAGAAACAAACUGGUGGCACAAUCCUCUACACACAACCUUUGUGUUUCUCCAUCUGUGGCUUAAGAAGGUUCACAGCUCACUUAAUUUGCAGGCAUUGGAUGUGCCAGUCUCUGCCAUAACUGAUGUGUGCAGAAACAGGUCUGUAAAGUAUCUGGCUCUGAGAAGCUGACAGCGAAACACCUCCAGGAGAGGAUGUCAGAAACAAGAGGGAAGCAGUGAGGAGGUGAUAAGGUAGAGCUGAGCUCGAUAAGCACCCCUGACUCCUCC